rnacentral:rRNA from 1 species
CUACGGGUGGCACCAGUCGAGAAUCUUCCUCAAUGCCCGCAAGGGUGAAGGAGCGACGCCGCGUGCCAGAUGAAGUCUUUCGGGAUGUAAAUGGCUUUUCUAUGGGAAAAAUUCGUGAUGGUACCAUAGGAAUAAGGGGCUGCUAACUUCGUGCCAGCAGCAGCGGUAAUACGAAGGCCCCGAGCAUUACCCGGAAUUAUUGGGCGUAAAGAGCUAAACGGCGGCUUGAUAAGUCGAUUGUUAAAUAUCAGAGCUCAACUCUGAAAUCGCAAUCGAAACUAUCUGGCUAGAGGACGGAAGAGGUCAGUGGAAUUGCUGGUGUAGCAGUAAAAUGCGUUAAUAUCAGCAGGAACACCAAAAGCGAAGGCAGCUGACUGGAACGAUCCUGACACUAUAAUAGCGAAAGCGUGGGUAGCGAAUGGGAUUAGAUACCCGCGUAGUC